rnacentral:misc_RNA from 1 species
AAACCAAUCCAGCUUGCUGGGUCUUGGGCUUUCGCCUCUGGGCGGGCCUCAAAAUCAGUGGCGGUGCUGCCCAGGCUCUACGCGUAGUAAUUUUUCUCGCUAUAGGGUCCUGGUAGAGGCUUGCCAACAACCUCAAAUCUUUCAAA